GACGAACGCUGGCGGCGUGCUUAACACAUGCAAGUCGAGCGGUAAGGCCCUUUCGGGGGUACACGAGCGGCGAACGGGUGAGUAACACGUGGGUGACCUGCCCUCAGCUCUGGGAUAAGCCUGGGAAACCGGGUCUAAUACUGGAUAUGACUCCAUGACGCAUGUUGUGGGGUGGAAAGCCUUGUGCGGCUGAGGAUGGGCCCGCGGCCUAUCAGCUUGUUGGUGGGGUGANGGCCUACCAAGGCGACGACGGGUAGCCGGCCUGAGAGGGCGACCGGCCACACUGGGACUGAGACACGGCCCAGACUCCUACGGGAGGCAGCAGUGGGGAAUCUUGCG
rnacentral:rRNA from 1 species